rnacentral:SRP_RNA from 1 species
GUUCGGGUCCCGCGCGACGAUCCCCCUCGAAACGUGUCAGGUCCGGAAGGAAGCAGCACUAAGAGGAACGGAUCGAGCGCCGCGGAUCACCCGGACUCA